AUCCCGGGCUACUAUCAGAUGUAAAGGGGAGGGGAUUCGCUCGUGUUCCUCCAACCCAAUCAGGAAGAAGCGAAGUCAGUGAAGGGAUGGAACAACAGGAGCACUUUCUUCCUCUCCGCGAGCCGUACAACGGCGUCAUGGAGGGAAAUUUCCCCGUGAUAUGCUCUGGUUAUUCUGCACAUUCACAGAGGCAAUCAGCAGAACAGCUGCUGUCACUAAUGUGGCUGACAUGAGCUGGUUAUGUGGAUGCCCGCCACAGCUUGGGUAUGCAGCCAGCCUGAGGAUCUGAAGAGGCUCCUUUCCAGGGCUCACUCAAGCACCCGUCUGUGUAAAAGUGACAUUCUGUCAGGGCCAAUGACUGUGGUGAGAGACUAACCUAACCUCAAUUUUUGGUCUGUCAAAGAUUGAGUAAUCUAGAAACAAAGUGAAGCAGAACUGUCAACUUGUCAAACAGGGGAAGUUCCUAUUUUAUAUACCUUCAGUUGGCCAUCUUCAGACACAGACUGCUUUGACAAAAACUCACUUCUUCCGUCACCUCGGUACCUCUGUUCCUACUCUCUCUUUAACUUGUAGCUUGCUGUAACACCUAAUUAGGUGUAAGUUCUUUGUCUGUUUUCAUAGCCUGUUUUCUUUGCUGUUUGUAUAAUGUGGUUUCAGGUUUGUGUAACUUGGCUUCAUUUUCAGUAGGGCAGUUGACAGGUUGUCAGUUGGGUCUGCAAUUCUUGGACUUGCUGUCUCUCUUGGGAAUAUGCUUUCACCCUCUGGGAAAUUACUGCACUUUGACCUCUGAUCUUUACACUUGGGUUGCAUUGUAAGUGACUCUGGAGAAGAGAUCUGUGAAAUGCCAGUAUUUGAAUGGGGAUAACCCUGAACUUGUCUUUGCAUGAGCAAUAUAAAUCAAUAUUUUGUUAUAAUCUAUUUUUCUGAUUUAGAUUACUUUGACAGCAAUGGUACCACAUUAGCCACAACUACGCAAAACAGAAAGAGAUGUUAAUGAGGAAUGCUUACUCAAAUUUGCAUACUUGCUAAUCAUGAAAAUCAGGUUCAGCGAUAAUCAGUCUAAAGGGACCAGUCCUCUCUCCCCUAGACUAUGUGUAGCUUACUGGCUGUCACUCCACAAUGUAAGCAUGCUGUUUCGUUUUAUCAGAGCCUGCUUAUGAGCACCAUGUAGUUGCAUUGAUUACUGAAAGAGAAAGUAUAUGCUUACUUAGGCACUAUGAACUGCUGUGCUGUUCCUGUGAUUAUUUGUCUAUCAAUUGAUCUAAUAAGGACAAAAAUUUAUAUGGGACUAUUAACAUUUGCUUACAUGGCCUGGGUAAAAUGUUGGACAGUGUUGGAUUCUCUUUUCCUAUUGGUCUAUAUAUGGUGUUUCACAAUUUAUUAUAUCCCUCCCGUCUAUGAAGUAGAGUGGUAAGGCCACAAUAUCUCUCAUGUUGGUUACUAACGUCAAUGUUACCUGAGUAAAAUAGGGGAAAAGCCCAGAAAGAAGCUAAAUACUGUAAAUGUAUAAAUACAGAAGCUGAUCCUGCUCCAGGAACAGUUUACACUCAAGACAGGCCUUUUUACACCCCCCCCCCCCCCAAAAAAAAAUUAAAUAUAAAUAAAUAAAUAUUAAUAAUAAUGUCCAUUAUUUAAAAAAACAUAAAAUCAAAAAGCAGGGUAAAAAAUGACUGCUUAAAGUAUUUUUAUUCAACCUUUAUGCAAUUCUUUUCUGUUGAAAUAGGGUAUGAUAAUUGUAUUGAACGCAUCACUGGAGAGUAAUAUUCUGACGGUUGACAUGAUUUAGCUUUAAUGUUUCAAGGGACCACAACUCUACAUGCUUAUUGGAGUGUGUUCUUCUGUAAACAGUUCAAAGGUCAGAACUCACAGUAUUUGCCAUGCUGGAUACAGUCUUUACUGUUAGAGCAUAUUGCACAUCUGCUCACAGUUAUUGUGAUCAAACUGGUAUUUUUGGAUUACUGUAUUAUUGCCUCAUCAUUUAUCUGAGGUCCCCACCCUGGGGGGACUGUAGUUUUUUUCUGGACAAUGGAACUACAAUGUGGCUCACUGGACACAGAACAUUGUUACAGAUGUUACUUAGAGCCAACUCACUGACACUGCCUGCACUGCCAAUUAAAAAAAAAAAAAAAAAAAAAAAAA